GGUGCCUGGAGCACUUCCCACAUCUCUUCCCUCCUCCCAGCUCUGCAGCCAUCACACCCCGGGUGCCUGAUGACAAGUGGCAGUGCUGCCACACCUUCCAGAUGUGUGCCUGCUGCCCAAGGGCACGGCACAGAUGGCGAGUGCCAGCGUUCCCUGGAAAGCUGGGGCCAGGCACGCAGGCUGGUCUGCCUGUGCUGGGCUCCUCCAGCCCGUGCUGGGGGGAAAUGAACCAGCACAAACAGCUCGAGCUUUCAUCUCCAGGGAGUUGUUACUGAAGGCAGCGGUCCAUGGGACACUCCUCCUGCAGCCCAGGCAGGGGCAGGGCACCACAGCAGCGAAGAUUAUCAUUGGGGCACAGAGAGGAGGGCGAGGGAUGCUGGGCCUGUCCCCACCCCCUGCUCCAGCUUUCCUCUGCACAGAGCUACCAGCAUCCAAACCAGGUCAUGCUGCCCAGGAACCAGGUUUAUGCAGUCACGAGCUGCACUGCAACAGGCAGAACAGCAAAUCCUCCACCUCUGGAGAGGACACUUGGGAUGGGGAAGAGGAAGACAAGACUUCCUGCUGCACUGAGGACUGCAUCCAAGCCCUGCUGUUACCUUGGAAGCAGCUGAACAUAACCUGUAUUUCCAUGUGUCCUGAGUGGGUACAGAGCUCCCAUGGCCCAGGAGCAGCUACAGCUCUUGUGAAAUGAGGAAGGAAGAAGCAGCAAUUCCUCUCUGCAAGGCUAUAAAGCCAAUAAGGACCCCCUGGGAUGAAAGGUACUCCAUAAAUCUGAGCUGUUAUUAUAAAACCAAUCUCCUCCACAUCUCUUAAUAAUGCAGAUUAACUGUGCAGUACCACCACUAUAAUUAAUAUCAUAAAAGUCAGAGAUGGGAAAGGCCAGCAGGCCAGCGAGGCCAUGCCAUGGACUGCUCCCCACAGCACAGGAAAAGGGGAAACUCCUGGGUGCCACAGGAGCUGGGGACAGCGAAGGUAGGUUUGGCAGUGCUGGGCACCAUGAAGGGAGUGGUGACAAGGAGGGGGUGGCACAUGGAUCACCACAUCUCUGCCAAAGCCAGGAGGGGAGCAGAGCCCAGCUCUUGGUUCUGCAAGUACCCAGUGCCAACCUCUCAUCCCUCCUCUCCUGUUCACACAACCAGGGAAUUAUCUAGGUUGGAGAAGACAACUGAGUCAAACCAUUAACGCAGCACUGCCAAGGCCACCACAAACCAUGUCCCCAGGUGUGACUUCCAGAAACCUUUUGAAUCCCUCCAAGGAUGGUAUAACUUCACUGCUGACCUGAGCAGUCUGUGCCAGGGCUUGACACCA